UACGAAGGGGGCUAGCGUUGCUCGGAAUCACUGGCGUAAAGGGUGCGUAGGCGGGUCUUUAAGUCAGGGGUGAAAUCCUGGAGCUCAACUCCAGAACUGCCUUUGAUACUGAAGAUCUUGAGUUCGGGAGAGGUGAGUGGAACUGCGAGUGUAGAGGUGAAAUUCGUAGAUAUUCGCAAGAACACCAGUGGCGAAGGCGGCUCACUGGCCCGUUACUGACGCUGAGGCACGAAAGCGUGGGAGCAACAGG
rnacentral:rRNA from 1 species